rnacentral:misc_RNA from 1 species
AACGCACAUUGCGCCCGCUAGUAUUCUGGCGGGCAUGCCUGUUCGAGCGUCAUUUCAACCCUCAAGCCCUGCUUGGUGUUGGUGGCCUGCGGCGCCCUCGCGGCCCGCAGCCGCCCAAAUGCAUUGGCGGACCCGCCGUGGCUCCCUGCGUAGUAGUUUCAUCUCGCAUUGGGCCGGGGCGGCGCCCUGCCGUAAAACCCCCACUACACAAGGUUGACCUCGGAUCAGGUAGGAAUACCCGCUGAACUUAA